AUUGAACGCUGGCGGCACGCCUAACACAUGCAAGUCGAGCGGUAACAUGAUUUGUAGCAAUACAAAUUGAUGACGAGCGGCGGACGGGUGAGGAACACGUAGGAAUCUGCCCAGAAGCGGGGGACAACCAAGGGAAACUUUGGCUAAUACCGCGUAAUCUCGAGAGAGUAAAGCUGCCCGCAAGGGUGGCGCUUCUGGAGGAGCCUGCGUCCGAUUAGCUAGUUGGUGAGGUAAGAGCUCACCAAGGCGAUGAUCGGUAACUGGUCUGAGAGGACGACCAGUCACACUGGGACUGAGACACGGCCCAGACUCCUACGGGAGGCAGCAGUGGGGAAUAUUGGACAAUGGGGCAACCCUGAUCCAGCGAUGCCGCGUGGGUGAAGAAGGCCUUCGGGUUGUAAAGCCCUUUAGGUUGGGAAGAAGUUUAUGCGUUGAAUAGACGUGUAGAUUGACGGUACCGACAAAAUAAGCACCGGCAAACUCUGUGCCAGCCGCCGCUGUAA
rnacentral:rRNA from 1 species